AUGGUGAUGUUGCCAUUUGAAAGUAAGAAGAAAACUGGUAUCUCUUGGGUUACCAAGAGUAAAAAUAUAGAAUAUGCUUAUAAACUGCGAUCCAUAGAGUUUCUUGAAAUCACAGUUUGGGAAUGGAGGAAAAGGCUGCUUGAGUGUUUGGAAAUGGAGACUAAGGAUGAGAUAGAGUGGGGGUCCAGCUCUAUUGCCCAGGCUGGAAUACGGUGGUGCAAUCUCAGCUCACUGCAGCCUCGAUCUCCAAUGCUCAAGCCGUCCUCCCACUUCAACCUCCCAAGCAGCUGGGACUACAGGCAUGUACCACCAUGCCAGGAUAAUUUUGUUUACUUCUUGGAGAGAUGAAAUCUCACCAUGUUGCCCAGGCUGGUCUCUAACUUGGUCUCAUGCAAUCCUCCCACCUCGGCCUUCCAAAGUGCUGGAAUUACAGGUGUGAGCCACUGCACCCAGUGUGAAGUAGAAAUUCUAAAGCACACAUGUUGCAGGAAGUUCAGGGCAGGGUCUCAGAAAACUGUGGGUUUCCUAGUUGCCUCUUUUUUAUUACCUUUACCUUUCUGUCAAAUUGUCAAAGAUAAUUUUUUUACAUUUAUUUGACUCAUCAGCAGUUUUUUAACCUCUCCC
rnacentral:lncRNA from 1 species